rnacentral:rRNA from 1 species
CAACGCCGCGUGGAGGGAUGAAAAUACCCCUUUCGGGGAGUGUAAACUACCUUUCGAUCGGGAAGGAUAAUGACGGUACCGAGAGAAGAAGCCCCGGCCUAACUUCGUGC